GAUGAACGCUGGCGGCGUGCCUAACACAUGCAAGUCGAACGGAGUUGCGAGAGCUUGCUUUUGUAACUUAGUGGCGAACGGGUGAGUAAUGCGUGAGCAACCUGCCCCUCAGAGGGGGACAACAGUUGGAAACGACUGCUAAUACCGCAUAAUGUAUUUAGGAGGCAUCUCCUGGAUACCAAAGGAGAAAUCCGCUGAAGGAUGGGCUCACGUCUGAUUAGCUAGUUGGUGAGGUAACGGCUCACCAAGGCUGCGAUCAGUAGCCGGACUGAGAGGUUGAACGGCCACAUUGGGACUGAGAUACGGGCCCAGACUCCUACGGGAGGCAGCAGGUGGGGAAUAGUUGGGACAAGUGGGACGAAAGCCU
rnacentral:rRNA from 1 species